rnacentral:rRNA from 1 species
UACGUAGGGUGCGAGCGUUGUCCGGAAUUAUUGGGCGUAAGGGCUCGUAGGCGGUUUGUCGCGUCGGGAGUGAAAACACCGGGCUUAACUCGGUGCUUGCUUUCGAUACGGGCAGACUAGAGGUAUGCAGGGGAGAACGGAAUUCCUGGUGUAGCGGUGAAAUGCGCAGAUAUCAGGAGGAACACCGGUGGCGAAGGCGGUUCUCUGGGCAUUACCUGACGCUGAGGAGCGAAAGUGUGGGGAGCGAACAGG